GUUAAGAUAGCAAAAAU
rnacentral:tRNA from 1 species